rnacentral:rRNA from 1 species
AUGAACGCUGGCGGCGUGCCUCAUACAUGCAAGUCGAGCGAACAGAUGAGGAGCUUGCUCCUCUGACGUUAGCGGCGGACGGGUGAGUAACACGUGGAUAACCUACCUAUAAGACUGGGAUAACUUCGGGAAACCGGAGCUAAUACCGGAUAAUAUAUUGAACCGCAUGGUUCAAUAGUGAAAGACGGUUUUGCUGUCACUUAUAGAUGGAUCCGCGCCGCAUUAGCUAGUUGGUAAGGUAACGGCUUACCAAGGCAACGAUGCGUAGCCGACCUGAGAGGGUGACCGGCCACACUGGAACUGAGACACGGUCCAGACUCCUACGGGAGGCAGCAGUAGGGAAUCUUCCGCAAUGGGCGAAAGCCUGACGGAGCAACGCCGCGUGAGUGAUGAAGGUCUUCGGAUCGUAAAACUCUGUUAUUAGGGAAGAACAAAUGUGUAAGUAACUAUGCACGUCUUGACGGUACCUAAUCAGAAAGCCACGGCUAACUACGUG